rnacentral:rRNA from 1 species
GACGAACGCUGGCGGCGUGCUUAACACAUGCCAGUCGAACGGAAAGGCCCUGCUUUUGUGGGGUGCUCGAGUGGCGAACGGGUGAGUAACACGUGAGUAACCUGCCCUUGACUUUGGGAUAACUUCAGGAAACUGGGGCUAAUACCGGAUAGGAGCUCCUGCUGCAUGGUGGGGGUUGGAAAGUUUCGGCGGUUGGGGAUGGACUCGCGGCUUAUCAGCUUGUUGGUGGGGUAGUGGCUUACCAAGGCUUUGACGGGUAGCCGGCCUGAGAGGGUGACCGGUCACAUUGGGACUGAGAUAGGGCCCAGACUCCUACGGGAGGCAGCAGUGGGGAAUAUUGCACAAUGGGCGGAAGCGUGAGGCAGCAACGCCGCGUGCGGGAUGACGGCCUGCGGGGUGUAAACCGCUUUCGCCUGUGACGAAGCGGGAGUGACGGUAAUGGGUAAAGAAGCACCGGCUAACUACGUG